UACGUAGGGGGCUAGCGUUGUCCGGAUUUAUUGGGCGUAAAGAGCGUGUAGGCGGCCAGGUAGGUCCGUUGUGAAAACUCGAGGCUCAACCUCGAGACGUCGGCGGAAACCCUCUGGCUAGAGUCCGGAAGAGGAGAGUGGAAUUCCUGGUGUAGCGGUGAAAUGCGCAGAUAUCAGGAAGAACACCCGUGGCGAAGGCGGCAUCCUGGACCGGCAUUGACGCUGAGGCGCGAAAGCCAGGGGAGCAAACGGG
rnacentral:rRNA from 1 species